rnacentral:piRNA from 1 species
UCAAUACAUUAUGGCUGUCACUAUUUGCAC